CUACUAAUGAAUACACUUACUUCUAACCUGGUGAAGCGACCUUUAUAGUAUAUAGGGAAAUAGGCUACACGAUGUGCAAUUGCAUGCCCCCAUCACCACGCUAGUACUACAAGAAGCAGCAAUGGAAGUCUUUCUGUGAUUGUUGAUUUAACUGCUGUUUCUCUGUGUUUGUAGGAUGAACGGUUCACCAAGCCGCCCCCACUCUCCCCCCACACAAACAAUAAAGUGAAUGUGGUGUCACAUACAGUUAUUCCUGUGACAAAGCAUCAAGACCAGCCGCUAGAUUUGGUAAUCUCAGCACCUACAGGCAGCCCUGUAACAGAGGCUUCACACAAAGGGCCAGAUCAGAAUCAGGGUGAGCUCACCCCAUCACCGUCUCCGUCAGUCAGCACAACAGACGCUCCACAAGAGGAGGAGCACUCCUAAACUCUGUAAGAUUGACAAUCAGGACACGUUUGUACUCAAGAUUGUGGUUAAACACCUCCAAGAGCCAAGUUUUAUGUGUAUGUUUGUGUGCGUGCGUGCCUGUGUGCGUGCCUGUGUUUGUGUUUGUGAAAGUGUGUAUAAGAGUGAAUUUGUUUUAGUAUACAUGCUGGUGUGUGUUUAUGUAUAUGCCAGAGAGAGAGAAAGCAGAUAGAGUGUGUGUGUGUGUGUGUGUGUGUGUGUGUGUGUGUCUGUGUCUGUGUCUGUGUCUGUGUCUGUGUCUGUGUCUGUGUCUGUGUGUGUGUGUAUGUGUGCACAUAUAUGGGUGUUUACUCUAAAGUGUUGAAGAUUGGUGGGGAUCUGAUUUGCCUGAACUGGACCUGCCUAAUUUUUUCAUCCCUCCAGUGAUGAUGUCAUGACCGGUGCUCUGUGACACCAUUUAAAGCAGAUAUUCAAAAGUAAAGAGGAAGAAGCCAUCUUGUAUCACAUUUAAAGGAAUGGGCCUUUAUCAUCACUUUAAGUCCACACCAAUAUGCUACAUUUCCUACAGAGAACAAUCCAACCCCAUAAAAUGAUAAACUUUCAAUAACAUAAUUGAUUUAUAGUAAUGAUGCAUUUGUCUCCCCAGGGAUAAAGUUCAUGAACAAACAAUAAACAAAUAGUGUUUUUUUUUAUUUGUCUGACC
rnacentral:lncRNA from 1 species